rnacentral:rRNA from 1 species
AAUGGGCGCAAGCCUGAUGCAGCCAUGCCGCGUGUGUGAUGAAGGCCUUAGGGUUGUAAAACACUUUCAUCGGUGAAGAUAAUGACGGUAGCCGAAGAAGAAGCCCCGGCUAACUCCGUGCCAGCAGCCGCGGUAAUACGGAGAGGGCAAGCGUUGUUCGGAAUUACUGGGCGUAAAGCGCACGUAGGCGGACUGAUCAGUUGGGGGUGAAAUCCCGAGGCUUAACCUCGGAACUGCCUUCAAUACUGUCAGUCUUGAGAUCGGAAGAGGUGAGUGGAAUUCCUAGUGUAGAGGUGAAAUUCGUAGAUAUUAGGAAGAACACCAGUGGCGAAGGCGGCUCACUGGUCCGAUACUGACGCUGAGGUGCGAAAGCGUGGGGAGCGAACAGGAUU